AUUUGUGAAGUUUUUAUAAUAUUGACUUGUGGCGUCAAAGAAGUGGAUUUCACCGCAGAUA
rnacentral:tRNA from 1 species